rnacentral:rRNA from 1 species
GACGAACGCUGGCGGCGUGCUUAACACAUGCAAGUCGAACGGAAAGGCCCUGCUUUUGUGGGGUGCUCGAGUGGCGAACGGGUGAGUAACACGUGAGUAACCUGCCCUUGACUUUGGGAUAACUUCAGGAAACUGGGGCUAAUACCGGAUAGGAGCUCCUGCUGCAUGGUGGGGGUUGGAAAGUUUCGGCGGUUGGGGAUGGACUCGCGGCUUAUCAGCUUGUUGGUGGGGUAGUGGCUUACCAAGGCUUUGACGGGUAGCCGGCCUGAGAGGGUGACCGGCCACAUUGGGACUGAGAUACGGCCCAGACUCCUACGGGAGGCAGCAGUGGGGAAUAUUGCACAAUGGGCGGAAGCCUGAGGCAGCAGCGCCGCGUGCGGGAUGACGGCCUUCGGGUUGUAAACCGCUUUCGCCUGUGACGAAGCGUGAGUGACGGUAAUGGGUAAAGAAGCACCGGCUAACUACGUG